CUGGGUUAGUCGGGACCUAAGGAGAGACCGAAAGGUGUAUCCGAUGGCCAACAGGUAGAGAUUCCUGUACUAGAGUAUAGAGUGAAGGAGGGACGCAGUAGGCUAACUCAAGCGUGCGAAUGGAAGAGCAUGUCUAAGCAGUGAGGUGUGAUAGGAGUCAAAUGCUUCUAUCUGUAACAUUGAGCUGUGAUGGGGAGCGAAGUUUACUAGCGAAGUGAGUGAUGUAACACUGGCAAGAAAAGCUUCUAGCGUUAAUUUAUACUCUACCCGUACCGCAAACCGACACAGGUAGUCGA
rnacentral:rRNA from 1 species